UAUUUUUAAGAUAUGUAAAAUAGUUUUAAUUUUUAAGUUUAAGCUUCUACUUUAGUAUUUUUAUAAGAAUAUAUUCAAAUUUCAUACACUUUAGUAGUGACAGUUACAUUGAAAAAAACAAACUGAAAAAUACAAUAUGCAAUGAUGAGUCCAACAAUGAAGGUGACCAGCAAUACCUUACACCACCUAAAACUUUUUCUUUGUCAAGUUUGCUCAACUCAGAGGUCUCC
rnacentral:lncRNA from 1 species